UUUGACGUUAGCUGCAGAAGAAGCACCGGCUAACUCCGUGCCAGCAGCCGCGGUAAUACGGAGGGUGCGAGCGUUAAUCGGAAUUACUGGGCGUAAAGCGCAUGCAGGUGGUGAGUUAAGUCAGAUGUGAAAGCCCGGGGCUCAACCUCGGAAUUGCAUUUGAAACUGGCUCACUAGAGUACUGUAGAGGGGGUAGAAUUUCAGGUGUAGCGGUGAAAUGCGUAGAGAUCUGAAGGAAUACCAGUGGCGAAGGCGGCCCCCUGGACAGAUACUGACACUCAGAUGCGAAAGCGUGGGGAGCAAACAGGAUUAGAUACCCUGGUAGUCCACGCCGUAAACGAUGUCUACUUGGAGGUUGUGGCCUUGAGCCGUGGCUUUCGGAGCUAACGCGUUAAGUAGACCGCCUGGGGAGUACGGUCGCAAGAUUAAAACUCAAAUGAAUUGACGGGGGCCCGCACAAGCGGUGGAGCAUGUGGUUUAAUUCGAUGCAACGCGAAGAACCUUACCUACUCUUGACAUCCAGAGAACUUAGCAGAGAUGCUUUGGUGCCUUCGGGAACUCUGAGACAGGUGCUGCAUGGCUGUCGUCAGCUCGUGUUGUGAAAUGUUGGGUUAAGUCCCGCAACGAGCGCAACCCUUAUCCUUGUUUGCCAGCACUUCGGGUGGGAACUCCAGGGAGACUGCCGGUGAUAAACCGGAGGAAGGUGGGGACGACGUCAAGUCAUCAUGGCCCUUACGAGUAGGGCUACACACGUGCUACAAUGGCGCAUACAGAGGGCGGCCAACCAGCGAUGGUGAGCGAAUCCCAAAAAGUGCGUCGUAGUCCGGAUUGGAGUCUGCAACUCGACUCCAUGAAGUCGGAAUCGCUAGUAAUCGUAGAUCAGAAUGCUACGGUGAAUACGUUCCCGGGCCUUGUACACACCGCCCGUCACACCAUGGGAGUGGGCUGCAAAAGAAGUGGGUAGUUUAACCUUCGGGAGGACGCUCACCACUUUGUGGUUCAUGACUGGGGUGAAGUCGUAACAAGGUAGCCCUAGGGGAACCUGGGGCUG
rnacentral:rRNA from 1 species